ncrna:unclassified sequences L13-Bacteroidia ribosomal protein leader
GGGGAUACACUUAGAGUCCCCUGUGCGGUCGUGUUAAUAGUGGUGCAUUUGGCCGUGCCCCAUGGUUAGUGAAUC